UGAGGAAUAUUGGUCAAUGGGCGAGAGCCUGAACCAGCCACGUCGCGUGAAGGAAGACUGACCUUACGGUUUGUAAACUUCUUUUGUAGAGGGGUAAUGGCAGAUACGUGUAUUUGCGUGAAAGUACUCUACGAAUAAGCAUCGGCUAACUCCGUGCCAGCAGCCGCGGUAAUACGGGGGAUGCGAGCGUUAUCCGGAAUUAUUGGGUUUAAAGGGUGCGCAGGUGGCUAAUCAGGUCAGUGGUGAAAAGCUAUGGCUCAACCAUGGUCUUGCCAUUGAAACUGUAUAGCUAGAGAGGAGACGAGGUAGGCGGAAUGUGUGGUGUAGCGGUGAAAUGCAUAGAUAUCACACAGAACUCCGAUUGCGAAGGCAGCUUACCAGGCUUUAUCUGACACUUAGGCACGACAGCGUGGGGAUCAAACAGG
rnacentral:rRNA from 1 species